UACGGACGGGGCGAGCGUUGUUCGGAAUCAUUGGGCGUAAAGGGCGCGUAGGUGGUCCUGUAUGUCUACCGUGAAAGCGUACGGCUCAACCGUAUUUUGUCGGUAGAAACUGCAGGACUUGAGGCUGGGAGGGGCUGGUGGAAUUCCCUGUGUAGCGGUGAAAUGCGUAGAGAUGGGGGAGAACACUCGUGGCGAAGGCGGCCAGCUAGACCAGUUCUGACACUGAGGCGCGACAGCGUGGGGAGCAAACAGG
rnacentral:rRNA from 1 species